AGUGAACGCUGGCGGCGUGCCUAAUACAUGCAAGUCGAAGGAAGUGGCGCACGGGUGAGUAAUAUAUAGCUAAUAUGCCCCUUGCUGGAGGACAACAGUUAGAAAUGACUGCUAAUACUCCAUAGCAAGGGAUGAGACUAUAUCGUAUCAGCUAGUCGGUGGGGUAACGGCCUACCGCGGCUAUGACGCGUAACUGGUCUGAGAGGAUGAUCAGUCACAUUGGAAAUGAGACACUGUCCAAAGUCCUACGGGAGGCAGCAGUAGGGAAUAUUGCGCAAUGGGGGAAGCCCUGACGCAGCAACGCCGCGUGGGGGAUGAAGGCUUUCGGGUUGUAAACCUCUUCGUUCGAACAAGGGGUAGGUGGAGAAGAAGCGCCGUCUAACUACGUGCCAGCAGCCGCGGUAAUUC
rnacentral:rRNA from 1 species